rnacentral:rRNA from 1 species
UACGGAGGGUGCAAGCGUUAUCCGGAUUCACUGGGUUUAAAGGGUGCGUAGGUGGGUCUGUAAGUCAGUGGUGAAAUCUCCGAGCUUAACUCGGAAACUGCCAUUGAUACUAUAGGUCUUGAAUCAUCUGGAGGUAAGCGGAAUAUGUCAUGUAGCGGUGAAAUGCUUAGAUAUGACAUAGAACACCAAUUGCGAAGGCAGCUUACUACGGGUGUAUUGACACUGAGGCACGAAAGCGUGGGGAGCAAACAGG